GAGACCGCCAAGCUGUGCAACCUGGACCGCGACGUGACCCUGCCCGACGCUGACGCCAAGGACCUGACCAUGGACAUGCGCGACAGCGUUGUGGGCCAGGUGUACCGCAAGCUGAUGGAGAUUGAGUCCCGCCUGCUGCCCUGCGGCCUGCACGUGGUGGGCUGCCCGCCCACCGCCGAGGAGGCCGUGGCCACCCUGGUCAACAUCGCUGAGCUGGACCGCCCGGACAACAACCCCCCCAUCAAGGGCAUGCCCGGCAUCCUGGCCCGCGCCAUUGGUCGCGACAUCGAGUCGAUUUACAGCGGCAACAACAAGGGCGUCCUGGCUGACGUUGACCAGCUGCAGCGCAUCACCGAGGCCUCCCGCACCUGCGUGCGCGAGUUCGUGAAGGACCGCACCGGCCUGAACGGCCGCAUCGGCACCAACUGGAUCACCAACCUGCUCAAGUUCACCGGCUUCUACGUGGACCCCUGGGUGCGCGGCCUGCAGAACGGCGAGUUCGCCAGCGCCAACCGCGAGGAGCUGAUCACCCUGUUCAACUACCUGGAGUUCUGCCUGACCCAGGUGCGACCGGUGCCGCUGCGUGGCCAACAGCUUGGUGCCACCUUCCUGCGGUGUUGAUUUACACUGUGUGCGUGGAUGUGUUGGUUUUUCGCAACUUUAGUCUGGGCUCCAGCUCUUUGCCUUCAUUGAUCACUCGUCUUACCUCCUGCGCCAUCAUUUGAAUACAGGUGGUCAAGGACAACGAGCUGGGCGCCCUGGUAGAGGCGCUGAACGGCCAGUACGUCGAGCCCGGCCCCGGCGGUGACCCCAUCCGCAACCCCAACGUGCUGCCCACCGGCAAGAACAUCCACGCCCUGGACCCUCAGUCGAUUCCCACUCAGGCCGCGCUGAAGAGCGCCCGCCUGGUGGUGGACCGCCUGCUGGACCGCGAGCGCGACAACAACGGCGGCAAGUACCCCGAGACCAUCGCGCUGGUGCUGUGGGGCACUGACAACAUCAAGACCUACGGCGAGUCGCUGGCCCAGGUCAUGAUGAUGGUCGGUGUCAAGCCCGUGGCCGACGCCCUGGGCCGCGUGAACAAGCUGGAGGUGAUCCCUCUGGAGGAGCUGGGCCGCCCCCGCGUGGACGUGGUUGUCAACUGCUCGGGUGUGUUCCGCGACCUGUUCGUGAACCAGAUGCUGCUGCUGGACCGCGCCAUCAAGCUGGCGGCCGAGCAGGACGAGCCCGAUGAGAUGAACUUCGUGCGCAAGCACGCCAAGCAGCAGGCGGCGGAGCUGGGCCUGCAGAGCCUGCGCGACGCGGCC
rnacentral:lncRNA from 1 species